AGCUUUGCACACUGGCAGUAUCAUAGCCAUGAGGUUUAUCUAAAGCACGAUUAUUGCUAAUUGAAAAUUUUUCCCAAUACCCCGCCGAGACGACUUGCAAUAUAGUCAGUAUUGGUAAUUUUUGACAGUCUCCACAGAGA
ensembl:snRNA U4 U4 spliceosomal RNA